rnacentral:sRNA from 1 species
CGGCUGAGCUGCUGGCGCCUUACACCGGCGAUAUCGUUGCGGAAGGGGUCAGUAAGGUCUUUCGCUCCGGAGCUCGUUUUCUGCUGCACGGCGCUCAGCGUCAGCAGCGGUAUGUCGCUGAAGCGCUGACCGAAGAGUGGCGUAUGGCGCCUGGGCCGCUGGAAAUGGCCUGGUUUGGCGAAGAGACCGCGGCUGUGGAACGCGCGCUUUCCUCACUGGAAAAACGGCUGGAAACGCUGGAGGGCAAAUGA